rnacentral:rRNA from 1 species
UACGGAGGUGGCGAGCGUUGUCCGGAUUUACUGGGCGUAAAGAGCGCGCAGGCGGUCGGAUAAGUCGAAUGUGAAAGCCCCCGGCUCAACUGGGGAGGGUCAUUCGAUACUGUUCGACUCGAAGGCAGGAGAGGGAAGCGGAAUUCCCGGUGUAGUGGUGAAAUGCGUAGAUAUCGGGAGGAACACCAGUGGCGAAGGCGGCUUUCUGGCCUGCUCUUGACGCUGAGGCGCGAAAGCUAGGGGAGCGAACGGG